CUAUAACACUGGACGCGGCUAAGGUGCUGGUCCAUGCUAUUGUUCUCUCUCACCUUGAGUGCAAUCCCCUUCUCAGUGGUUUUAUGAGUACCCAGCUUGCACCAAUGCAAUCUAUAAUGAAUAAAACGGCAAGGCUCAUUUUCCUAUCUGCCCGCACAUCCCCCCUCUGUCAGUCCCUACAUUGGCUUCCAGUUAGAUAUAGGGCUCAAUUUAAGAUUCUGGUGCUUGCUUACAUGUCCCUCCAUAAUGCUGCUGCAACCUACCUAUCAUCCCUAAUACACAAGUAUGUCCCGUGCUCGCCAUCAAGACUUCUCCAGGGCUGCACCUUUUCUGUGGAACUUCCUUCCAUUCUCCGUUAGACUUUCA